UACGGGGGGGGCAAGCGUUGUUCGGAAUUACUGGGCGUAAAGGGCGCGUAGGCGGCCUUCUAAGUCAGACGUGAAAUCCCCAGGCUUAACUUGGGAACUGCGUCUGAUACUGGGAGGCUUGAGUGCGGGAGAGGGAUGUGGAAUUCCAGGUGUAGCGGUGAAAUGCGUAGAUAUCUGGAGGAACACCGGUGGCGAAGGCGGCAUCCUGGACCGACACUGACGCUGAGGCGCGAAAGCUAGGGGAGCAAACGGG
rnacentral:rRNA from 1 species